CGUAGGGUGCGAGCGUUGUCCGGAAUUACUGGGCGUAAAGAGCUCGUAGGUGGUCUGUCGCGUCAUUUGUGAAAGCCCGGGGCUUAACUCCGGGUUGGCAGGUGAUACGGGCAUGACUGGAGUACUGUAGGGGAGACUGGAAUUCCUGGUGUAGCGGUGAAAUGCGCAGAUAUCAGGAGGAACACCGGUGGCGAAGGCGGGUCUCUGGGCAGUAACUGACGCUGAGGAGCGAAAGCAUGGGUAGCGAACAGG
rnacentral:rRNA from 1 species